CACGAUUCAGUCGUGUCCUCCUCCUCCGUCCCGCUCCCAAAACACUGAACGCUGGCACCUUGUGUCGGUGGUAUCGGUUUCCCACUCUUUGCAGGUCUUUCCUGGGACCUGCAAGGAGUGCAACCGAGGGAAGAGUGAGAAACCAACCUUAUGUCUUCGUGUGUACCACAGGUUAUUAGCUACUCUGAGAACUGAAGGACUUUACCCACACUGACAAAGCUAUGCACCGUGACCCCAAGAUCAACAUUAAGCUUAUACUGAUACAAAGAAAGAUUUGGACAACAAAAAUAGUGGUUGGAACUGGUAAAACUUGCACUUUGUCUUUCAAUUAAUGUUUGAGUGCUUUAAUCAAUCUGAAUAUUCUAGGCAGGGAUCGUAAGGUACUAUCUCCUGAAAUUCAUCCACGAAUUCAUCCGUAAGUCCUUGGGGAAACUUGCUCUUGAGUUGAAAAACAAUGUUAUUUUUCUGUUUUUGCAUAUAUUCUGUGCAAAAUAUUUAAUAUCUUAAAACACAAAGUCAGGUAUCAGCAUUUCUGGUGAAUGCCUAGUCAUGUGAGACUCUCUAACACUAAUACUCUAAUUCAAUUAGAAAAGCUUGUUAUGGUAAGAUGGCAAUAAUCCUAUCUCCUGACUUGACUUCCACCUCUCCAACCACAUGGAUUUCAAGGAGAAUACAGGAAAUUGUUUUCAUUCAAGCCAGUAUUUUCCAACAAAUUACAUGCUUGUCAUGUAUACCAGAAUUGUACUCUAAGCAUGUAGAAACAUUGUUUAGCCAACAUUUUUGUUUUUUUAAGGAAGAAACGAUGAAUGUGAAAUGUCUUUCUGAUGUGGUUCUCUCUAUAUAUGUCAUAUAAUCAGAACAAGGUAGGUUGGAAGUGACCUCCAGAGCUGGUCUAAUGAGAGAGAUUGCUCAGGGCCUUGCCCAGCCACAAAUAUGAAUAUCUCCAAGGAUGGAAAUUCCACCGUCACUUAGAGAACCUGCUCUGGUGCGUGACAACAGUCAUUGAAAAAAAAAGUUUCUUUAUAUCAGGUUAGAAUUCCCUCUGUUUCAGUUUUGUCUGUUGUGACUUCUCUUUUCACUGUGCUUCUCUGAAAAGAGUUUGUUUCCAUCUUUUCUACACCCCCUGCUUAGUUGUAGAUAGCAGUAGGGUCUCCCUGC